UACGUAGGGUGCAAGCGUUGUCCGGAAUUAUUGGGCGUAAAGAGCUCGUAGGCGGUUUGUCGCGUCUGCUGUGAAAACUCGGGGCUCAACCUCGAGCUGUCGGCGGAAACCAUUUGGCUAGAGUACGGAAGAGGAGAGUGGAAUUCCUGGUGUAGCGGUGAAAUGCGCAGAUAUCAGGAAGAACACCUAUGGCGAAGGCAGCUCUCUGGGACGGUACUGACGCUGAGACGCGAAAGCGUGGGGAGCGAACAGG
rnacentral:rRNA from 1 species